rnacentral:lncRNA from 1 species
GUUUAAAAUAUAAUGUUUAUGUUAAUUAUGGCUCUUUAGAAAACUUUCAUUUCUCUAAGCAAAAAAUAUAAAUAAAAGUAUUCUUGGUCUGAUGUAUUUCUUGAUGACUUUAAACCAUUUAAGACUCAGUUCUCAUAUUACUUUUAUCUAAUCCUCAAAAUAUGAAAUAAUGACUCAGGGUUAAUACCUCUUUGAUCAUUUUAAGAUAAAGAGCUUAAUUUUAAUGACU